AUGGUUUGGCAUUCUCAACACCUCUAGUGCUAGUUUUACUUAAAUGAAAACCCUACACCAAGAAUGAACUAAAAUUCACGUGAGAAAUUUACAUGUGGUUUCCA